rnacentral:sRNA from 1 species
UGACCGCCGCUUUUCUCUUUGUACAUCAU